rnacentral:tRNA from 1 species
AUGUAGCGCAAUGGAAAGUGCGUUGGACUUCUAAUCCAAAGGGCAUGGGUUCGAAUUCCAUCUGGAAUG